rnacentral:lncRNA from 1 species
UAAUCACUGAAUGACCUUUCUUCUAUUAAUUAUGAGUAAUUAUUAAAUCUGUUUGUGCAUUAGGCUUCCCCAGUACAUCAUUGCAAAAUUUUGUUUUAUAAGUUAUAUGAAAAAAACUCUAUCCUUUACUUUAAAAUUGCAUUGGGUAAUUUGAAUAGCUAUCAAGCUGUGUUGUGAGAAACAGUGACUGCUGGAGAGCUAGACACCGAAUCCCGUCUGGUCAGACCUGCAUCUUGCAGGACUGAAGCAAGAGCUCUGCAACCUGACCUGCUUUUACAAUGGGGCUUAGACAGAGACCUCCUGAGGCAUUAGGAGCCUAUUUGUCCCACCAGCCCAGCCGCCUCCAAAUUGUCCAAGGGUCCCAGUUGCUUCUAUUACUUUUCCCAUGGAACAUAUCUUCCUUGCAACCUUUUGCCUUCUGCUGCAAACUAGUUAACAGGUUGGUCAAAUUCCUGGAUGAUUUUUCUGCGGAUUUGCUGAAAGCUGAAGGAGUACUUUCUAGCAAAGCUGGAACUGUUUCUGCUACAAAUGUCUCUUGGAAGGUAGGUAAUACGUGUCAGAGUGUAAGGCAGUUGUCUUGGGAGAAUUGGUGCUCCAGCAUAAAAGUAAGCACGCCUCUAGCAAGUGCAUCAGAAGUAAUGAACAUGGUCAGAUGCCCACAAGGCUCCGACUCACUGCCCAUAAAGAGCUCUUACGCAGUGGGCAAGCGAGAAAAUGACGUACAGCCAAAGUCCUCGACGAAGGUGAUUGUGUGUGGUGACCUGCUUACAGAAGCGUUCCGUUCUUGAGGGACUUGCCUCCAAGGUGCGGCUCAGAUGCUGACCCCCUCCUACUCCUCCCCUUUUUGGCAUCUUUCUGGGUGAAACAGUUACCUCAGUUCAGUCCCAAGAGAAAGCAUUUUUCACAGGGCAGGUUUCCCCUGGGGAACAUUCUUGCCUCUUGUAUCAUCGAGACAUGCCCCUGCUCAGAGGGAAGGAGGAGCUCCUCCAUGAUUGAGCUAUCUCAUCCAUCAUGUUCCAAAUCCAUCCCGGACUGGCCCAUCCCUAAUUAGGGCAGCACUUACCUGAAAUACCAUUUGCACAGAUGACCUCUGUGCUGUGCCCCCUCAUGAAGCACCCCGCCGCCCCAGGGCCACAGCAGAACCGGGCCACCGCUGCCCUCUGAAGUGCUGGACGUGGUUGUGCCACACCACUCCUUUCAGGGCAUGCCUACUGAGCUUUUGGGGCCAGGUUCGCAGGGGUACUGGGCACUUUCCCCCACUCUGGGCCCCAGGAAUUGCUGUGUUUAUUUGGGAAACAUAUAAUAAUCUUUUUUUCCCUACUGUAACAAUUGAGCAAAACCCCCAGAAAUGCUUGAGGCUGUCUAAAUGCAACUGCUGGGCUGCAGACGUGUGGCAUUUCUGCAUUUUUUUAAUCAAGGUGAGAGCACAGCAUGCCAGUGUAUUCUCCCUUGCUUCCCUUCCACUGCACACUCUGUUUCUUGGAGUGCUUGAGCAAAGCCACAAGACAGGCUCGGAACCCUCCCUCGCUGAGUCAGAGCAGCCACCGUCAGGAGCCUGCUUGCGAGACAUGGCCGCAGGCCCUGCGCUGCGCACCACGCUCACUCUCGCCAGUUGCACUGAAGCACUUUGGUGUUUAUGGGACUGGGGCAGAUGUGUGACGGGGCCUAUGGGUUCCCUGAGGGAACUGGCAGCAGCCACAUCUCCCAUGGGCAGGCAGGGAAAUGUUUUUUUCCCCCACAUCAGAGGGCCUUAAGAAAUGUGCCAGAAAUGAAUUAAAUCAUGGCAUUAAUGGGCUAUAAAGAAAAAUUAACCCACACUGCUAACACAAGGUCUGCAUGUGAUUCCACUCACACCCACUGUGGCCAGGAGAGGGACUGGAGAGAUGUCUUUUCAGGGCUAAAGUGAUCAGAACUGGGUCUUAAUUUAUUAAGAGUUGCUGAAGAUUUUUUUUUCUACAUGUUAGCAGAAAUGGAAAGCUACAGAGCAGAGGCAGGAGGACAGUCACAUGGGUGUAUGGACUUGUGAGUCACUGGGUUGAGCCUCGGACCAAAGAGAUUUUGAAUGGCUGGCAGGAAGGUGACUAGGUAAAGGAGGUUCAGUUGCUAGGACGGGGCUAUCCCCCACUGCCAAUAUGGGGAUGGGUGACUAAUGGGGAUAAUCACAGCAGGAUGCUAUAGGUGUUGAAAGUAGCAUUUGGUUAGCAGCUGUGUGUAGGCGGUAGUCAGUACAAGGUGCCGGGUCUCCUCAGGGAUACCUUCCAUAGCUUUUCUUAGAGAGAUGAAAAUUAAGGGGAGAAACUGGGUUACUCAAGGUGUUCUCUGAAGGAGAGGAACCACUGCAACCAAUCCUGUCUCUGGAUUUUAUUAACUGUACUGCUUCUCUUGUCCUAGCCCCAUCAUUCUGACUUGCAGAAUUCUUUGCAAAAGCUAGUCAAAGGUACCUUUGCUAUUUCCCCCCCCCCCAAGCAAAGCUGGACCCUCAUGCAGAGGGAAGACAUCUGAUUGAUGGUGUUCAUAGAGAACAUCACAGCUUUAGCCUCACUUGCUUCAGAAGGAGGUUGCUCUCUAUGGCAAACUACCAUAGAGGAACACAACACAAAAGGUGUUCUAGUUAUUACUUGUAUCCUGAAACACCUUUCCCUUUCAAAGUCUAUUAAGCCCAAAGGGAAACACCUAUGAACCGUUUGUGCAUCAGAGAGCCUGAAUAGUCACAACAAAGGGAUAUGAGUUACACUACCACACUGGCAGGUGAUUCCAGCAGUGACCCAUCCCUCCAAAACUCUUCAGUACAAAGACAGCAUUGCUGGCAUGCAGCAUGGUGAGUGCUCUGUAGGUUUCAUAGUGAAGUCUCUUUUUAUGGGUGGCAGAAGAGAUAACGGUAGCUGGAUGAUGUACAACUUUCUUCAGCAAUACUUGGAAUGAAACAAAGGAGCUCAUCGACAUAAUGUUUUCAAUUUAUUUAUAUAAACAAUUGCAUUUAAAAAAAAAACAACAUUCUUGUCCUAUAAAAAUAGAGUGAAAAACAAUUCACAGAAUUUUAAAUAAAUAAUCUCAAACAUACACAUUUAUCACGAUCAACUUGAACCCAGCCAAACCCAGCAGGCUGGGUCACAUAAACAUGGCUUCAGAGUAUAAAGUGUAGAAUGAACUGGAUUGAGUGAACUGGAUUCCUUUCAAAGCAGCUUGUAAGAACAAGGCUGAAAUGUAACUUUUUUUUUUAAAUUGAAUUCUUUUUUACCUAUCUCAAAAUAACUAGAUCUGCCCAGACUUGUCUUUCUUUGAUUUUAAGCCAUACAGUUUUCCUUGUGAAUGGUACAUAGGUGCUCUAAAGCAUGUUCCAAAGGUGGUCUGAAUGAUAGCUACAUGCUUAACCAAUAAUUAAGUAGCUUUCAUUAACUGAACACAGUACUGUACCCCUUUUUUUUCUCUUUUAUACAAGAUUAUUGAAUUUUUUCCUUCUUUAUGCCUUAAAUAUAAAAACCAUCUCCCGAAGCAUUCAUACCAAGGACCACCUCAAAUCAGUCACUAGUAUCAACUGCUGUAGGAGAGCUGGAGUCAGCUAUUUGUGCUACCAGUUACAAGUUUGCACUGUAGGACAUAAUCAGCAUCUUUAAACAAAUCAAUAGAAAUACAGAAGUUACAGUCAAGCUAUACUAGUACCACAGUCAUUACAACACAAGCCUCUACAAGCAUUCAAGAGAUUCAGGUGGAAAUAUAAAACAAGUCCUUUUCCACAAGUAGCCAAGGAAUUUUGGCUGGGGGCAUAGAAUACCAGGUUGCUGCUCUACUCCAGUCUGAAGUAACAUUCUUUUUAUCUAUAGUUCCCCAGCUGAUUUUAUAGGAAGAUCAUCUUCUACAUUUCCUCUCUAGAAAUUAAAAAAAGAUACCCUUAUAUGCAAAGGUUGAAGUGCUGGUACAAGAUCCCAAUUAAGUUUUUAUAUGCCCCAAUGAGACUAGAUACUUUAGUGCUGGACCAGGACAAAUGUGUCUGGGAUAUUUUGUGCUUAGCUAGCUAUUGUUUUUUUUCUCCUUAGAGCUCUAGCCCCUCCUUUAAAAUGCCUCUGUUUAUACUUCAAUAAAUAAAACAUUAACAUUCCCCCUCCAACCAAAUAAACAAUUUAUAGUCAUGAGUUAGAGCUCUAUUUAUGUAGACCUAGACUAACAAAGCCUUGGUGCCUUGAAGUUUAGCUCACUCAGUGCUACUUAUGUUUAUAUAGUGUCCCCAUUUUUAUUUUAUUUUUUUAAUUUUCUAAAUUAUUCCCCAAUAAUUUCCAUUUGGCUACAUAAACCUAUACUAUAGUCAUGUCCUUAAGGACAAAAGGAAUGUAUAGUUUUAUCUAGAAUGACAGAUUUAUACCAUCCAGAGAAUUUAUAUUGACCAGACAAUUACAGCUACAAAACAAACAAACAAAAAAAAAACCCCACACUAAUAAACUUUGGAUUAAGUUUAAGAUCUCCCCAAACUCAAAGUAAAAGGUCUACUGAUAUACAAGCAGCCUUGUUUUCCUGCCUGACAGUUGUGUCUAAGCUCAGUAUCACUGUUAACAUCAUCUCACAUAAAUAAUACUUCUGCAACACAUGCUUCAAAAACAAGUAGGAUCUCAGACAAGUUCUAUUAUCAUUAAAUAAUUAAAUUAAUAAUUAAAUUAAAAAUGAUGAAAAAGUAUAAUGCCACACAAAAGGACAGACUUACAAAAAAAUCAAUUAUGUAAAUCACUGUACAAAGUGCCUUAUUUGCAUGAGGGAGAGGUAGUAUCACUGACAAACGCAAUGCAUUUUCUGACUUUAAACAAGCAAGACUCAAACAUGUAUUUGUUAGUCUUGGAGUGCUCAUACAGAAUUCAGAAUCUUUUUUAGCAGUUUUCAUUAAAUCAUGUUCUCAUUUUUAGUCUCAAGGUCUGUUUUCAAGUUUAAAAAAUUGCUGAGGCAAUAACUUGAUUUUUGUAGUGUUAUGUGACCUAUUGAAGUGAGAAGACAACCCUAACACCCUUUGUCAAGUAUUAAAACAAGUAAAAAAUUGGAACUUGGUCCAUUUUGGAAUACGUAGUUCUGCUACAGAAGGCUUUAAACAAGGGAUUCACUACUGCAGAGCUGAAACACAGAAAAUCCCUUUUUCUAAAAUGAAGCCUUACCUGAGUAAGGAACCUAGGGCAACCCUCAAAGUGAAGAUGCAAACGGUUGCUUUUUGUUUUCUAAAUACUAGAGCUAUAAAUAGAAUAACUUAGAUAAAU